rnacentral:rRNA from 1 species
UUUAACGGCCGCGGUAUCCUAACCGUGCAAAGGUAGCGCAAUCAAUUGUCCCAUAAAUCGGGACCAGUAUGAAUGGCUAAACGAGGUCUUAACUGUCUCUUACAGGCAAUCGGUGAAAUUAAUCUCCCUGUGCAAAAGCAGGGAUAAACCCAUAAGACGAGAAGACCCUGUGGAACUUUAAAAUCAGCGACCACCCUAACGUACAUACACCCCCAACACGGGCUCACUCACCCGUAAGGCACUGGCUCGCAUUUUUUCGGUUGGGGCGACCUUGGAGCAAAACAAAACCUCCAAACAUUGGACCACACCUCCAGACCAAGAGCAACAUCUCAAAGUGCUAAAAGUACCCAGAUCCAAUAAAAUUGAUCAAUGGACCAAGCUACCCCAGGGAUAACAGCGCAAUCUCCUCCAAGAGUCCAUAUCGACGGGGAGGUUUACGACCUCGAUGUUGGAUCAGGACAUACUAAUGGUGCAGCCGCUACUAA